AUGUACAUGCCUACAGUAUAAAGUUAAUGCAUCAAAUCCCAUUAGAACUUUGCAUUUAAGUGUGCUUGAGAUAGAGUAACAUUGGGAUCGGUGACCGCUCGGGAAGUCCUAGUGUUUUACAUG
rfam:Picea glauca, whole genome shotgun sequence.